rnacentral:rRNA from 1 species
CCUACGGGAGGCAGCAGUGAGGAAUAUUGGUCAAUGGGCGCGAGCCUGAACCAGCCAAGUAGCGUGAAGGAUGACUGCCCUACGGGUUGUAAACUUCUUUUAUAAAGGAAUAAAGUGAGGCACGUGUGCCUUGUUGUAUGUACUUUAUGAAUAAGGAACGGAUAACUCCGUGCCAGCAGCCGCGGUAAUACGGAGGAUCCGAGCGUUAUCCGGAUUGAUUGGGUUUCAAGGGAGCGUAGAGGGGUUGUUAAGUCAGUUGUGAAAGUUUGCGGCUCCACCGUAAAAUUGCAAUUGAUACUGUCAGUCUUGAGUACAGUUGAGGUCGGCGGACUUCGUGGUGUAGCG